rnacentral:rRNA from 1 species
UACGUGGGGUGCGAGCGUUGUUCGGAAUUACUGGGCGUAAAGCGUGUGGAGGCGGCCCGUUAAGUCUGAUGUGAAAUCUCUGGGCUUAACCCAGGAACUGCAUCGGAAACUAGCGGGCUAGAAUUCGGGAGAGGGUCGUGGAAUUCCUGGUGUAGAGGUGAAAUUCGUAGAUAUCAGGAGGAACACCGGUGGCGAAGGCGGCGACCUGGACCGAUAUUGACGCUAAUACACGAAAGCGUGGGGAGCAAACAGG